rnacentral:ncRNA from 1 species
CAGUCGUUGGUCCCGUUAUCGGGUGAAUAGGGAAGCUGGUGGGAAACCAGCGCUGCCCCCGCAACUGUAAGCGAAGAGACGAUUUUCCCCCUCAUUGGCCACCGAGCAAUCGGGAAGGCCCGGAAAUCGUCCAUGACUCGCAAGCCAGGAGACCUGCCAACAAAA